GCGCCGGCGGGCAGUCGGGCGGGCUGCGGACCGCCCUCGCCGGUCUGACCACCCGCGGCCGUUCCUUCCUGGCCGCCGGGGUG
rnacentral:tRNA from 1 species